rnacentral:rRNA from 1 species
UGAAUGGUUUGACGAGAGCUAGUCUGUCUCUUUUGGAAUAUUUAAAAUUUAACUUUUAGGUGAAGAGGCCUAAAUUUGUUUAAGGGACAAGAAGACCCUGUUGAGCUUUAGUAAAAUUAUAAGUGUAAUAAAACUUGUGCGGUCUGCUGUACUAGUUAUUAUGUAGUUGCUAUAAUAAUAGGCUUAUAAUUAAUCUUUAGUUGGGGCGACUGAGGAACAUAUAAAGCUUCCUUAAUUUGUGAACGUUAACAUAACGUAAUAAGCUUUAAAUGUUUUUAUAUUAUUUUGAUCCAUUUUGUUUUGAUUAAAAAAAAAAGUUACCACAGGGAUAACAGCGUAAUCUUUCUGGAGAGAUCUAAUCGAAAGAGGGGUUUGCCACCUCGAUGUUGGACUAAGAUAUCCUAAGGGUGCAGAAGCUCUUAGAGGUUGGUCUGUUCGACCAUUAAAAUCUU